rnacentral:rRNA from 1 species
UACGUAGGGAGCAAGCGUUGUCCGGAAUCAUUGGGCGUAAAGCGCGCGUAGGUGGCCAUGUAAGUCCGCUGUGAAAGUCAAAGGCUCAACCUUUGAAAGCCGGUGGAUACUGCAUGGCUAGAGUACGGAAGAGGCGAGUGGAAUUCCUGGUGUAGCGGUGGAAUGCGCAGAUAUCAGGAGGAACACCGAUUGCGAAGGCAGCUCGCUGGGACGUAACUGACGCUGAGACGCGAAAGCGUGGGGAGCAAACAGG